rnacentral:rRNA from 1 species
UGGGGAAUAUUGGACAAUGGGCGCAAGCCUGAUCCAGCAAUGCCGCGUGUGUGAAGAAGGCCUUCGGGUUGUAAAGCACUUUUAUCAGGAGCGAAACGCUGUCGGCUAAUACCCGGCGGAACUGACGGUACCUGAGGAAUAAGCACCGGCUAACUUCGUGCCAGCAGCCGCGGUAAUACGAAGGGUGCAAGCGUUAAUCGGAAUUACUGGGCGUAAAGCGUGCGUAGGCGGUUUCUUAAGUCUGCUGUGAAAUCCCCGGGCUCAACCUGGGAAUGGCAGUGGAUACUGGGAGGCUAGAGUGUGUCAGAGGGUGGUGGAAUUCCCGGUGUAGCGGUGAAAUGCGUAGAGAUCGGGAGGAACAUCAGUGGCGAAGGCGGCCACCUGGGACAACACUGACGCUGAGGCACGAAAGCGCGGGGAGCAAACAGGAUUAGAUACCCUGGUAGUCCACGCCCUAAACGAUGCGAACUGGAUGUUGGUCUCAACUCGGAGAUCAGUGUCGAAGCUAACGCGUUAAGUUCGCCGCCUGGGGAGUACGGUCGCAAGACUGAAACUCAAAGGAAUUGACGGGGUCAUAGCUGUUUCCUG